UGGGACCCCAAUGGCGCCGGGAGAGCAGAGCUGGGAGAGCCCCACAGGAACACUCCUCUCCCUCGAAAUGCUUUUGUUGUUUGGCACGAGCUCAGCACGUCUGUGUUGCAAAGCUCGGGACAAGUGAAGAAGCGGUGCACGAGGCCAAGCAGGGAGAAUCACAGCCCAACCCACAGGGCUGGUAGCACUGUGCAUUGCAGCCAAGCAGAUGGAAUGGGUGCUUUUGGGACCUGGAGUUCAGCAUCAGCUCUCAGCCAAUGGUUUCAUUUGGGCCACACGAUGCUCAGCUCACCGCUGUGCUUAGAGAACACAUCCCUGCCCCGUGGACAUCCAGGGUGACGGCUGGAUGUGCUGUGUGACAAACCAGGAGACAGGGAGGGCAUGGGGACAGGGAGAGCAUGGGGACAGGGAGGGACAUGGGGACAGGGAGGGCAUGGGGACAGGAAGGGACAUGGGGACAGGGAGAGCAUGGGGACAGGGAGGGCAUGGGGACAGGUCACCCCGCAGCCACCCAUGGGGCUUCUCCUAAUGGCACGUGGCUCAACCCGGUGCAUCCUCACUGCAUCCAGGACAGUCGCUGCCCCUCUCCAUGUCCCAAAGCCCACCGUCCCCGCGGUGCCCGGCGGUGGCACGGGGUGACCCGAGCGGCGGAGGGGCGCGUGCUGCCUCUGUGUGGUCCCCGGCCAUCUGGAGGUACUUACAGCAAUCCUGCAGCAAUCGUGAAAAGAUCAAAACUCGUCAGGCCAACCUUGAAUCCCAGCGCAUUUUUGGCAUUUUUGAGGACUGGUGUCUCAAACCUGGCGGGGGGGGGGGGGGGGGACGUGGUUGGCAUCACCAUGAAACCUCAGCGCAGCCCCCGAGGAUGCUCUGCCCCACGUCUGGAUGCAGUGGGCACUCACAGCCCCUUCCCUGCAGGGGCACGAGGUCUCUGCACAGCACUGCCCAGCGGUUAAUGACUGACCAACGCCCUCAGCCCUGCACUGAGCUGCUCCGAGAGGUGUGGGGCUGAGCAUCGUCACCUCCGUCCUUAUGGGGAUGAGCAGCGGGAGGAGGCAGAGCACAGCCAGCGCUGCUGAAUGGCUCAGCCAUGGCAGGAGUGGGCUCUCCUGGCUGUUCCCCUGCGCUGCCUGGAAAGGGGCCACGUACUGCUUUACAACUAAAAUAACACAUUAUUUCAUGCAGGGCCAGAGCUGCCGGAGGGGGGCCAUCGCUGCGCUCCUGGCAGUGCGGGCACAGCGGUGCUGGGGGAGGAGGGCAUCAACAGGGGCUGCUGUGUCCCCAGGUCACCUGUCCC
rnacentral:lncRNA from 1 species